AAGCGUUACAAGUUCCCGAAAGGAUUUGUUGUAAAAUUGUAGUUUUUUCGCAGAACGAUUCUUUUUGAAUUGGAAGCGAACGGAGUUGCAUUUUAUACAAAGAUGCCUUGUAACCGAAUAUAACUAGGGGGAAUACAUUAUG
rnacentral:sRNA from 2 species